rfam:Schistosoma rodhaini strain Burundi genome assembly, scaffold: SROB_scaffold0003642
UCACUGCUGAGGAGUCUCAGACUUGGACGAAACGGCCGUCCAGUGC